UAACAUUGCAUACACGCAAGAGAACUUCUCUCUUCGAUCUACUCCAUUAACCACUGCGUAUUUAACUAUUUGUUCCUCACAUCUUCUUUUACCAUAAAUUAGCGAAAUUCGACCCCAAAAAAUUAGUAAUUACUUCUUCCUCUCUAUGUUGUCUAUUCUUACUUCUCUAGAAGAGGUAGUUAGGAACAUACUCUAGUCCAGGCGGAGACUGGCCUCACCUGCAACAUCUCAUUGGCACACCACAAGACUGAGGAACUUCCAAAGAUGAAGAUAGCUGUGGAAGGAUGCAUGCAUGGAGACCUCGACAAUGUCUACAAAACUAUCAUCGAAUUAGAGAGAGCAGAGAACACCAAAAUUGAUCUUCUCAUUUGCUGCGGCGAUUUUCAGGCUGUUAGAAACAAAAAGGAUCUUGAGAGUUUGAAUGUGAAGCCUAAAUAUAGGCAAAUGAACACUUUCUGGAAAUAUUACUCAGGACAAGUAGUAGCUCCUGUGCCAACUGUUUUCAUUGGAGGAAAUCAUGAAGCAUCAAAUUACCUCUGGGAACUGUACUACGGUGGAUGGGCCGCACCUAAUAUAUACUUCUUGGGUUUUGCGGGAGUGAUCAAAUUUGGCAGCAUACGAAUUGGUGGAUUGUCGGGGAUAUACAAUUUUCGUCAUUAUAAAUUAGGUCAUUUUGAGAGACCUCCAUACAACGAGAGUGAUAUUCGGUCCAUCUAUCAUGUUCGUGAGUAUGAUGCUCACAAGCUUAUGCAAGUUGAGGAGCCAAUAGAUAUAUUUCUUUCUCAUGAUUGGCCACUUGGUAUUACUGAUUGUGGAAAUUGGAGGGAACUUGUUCGGAAGAAGCCAUUUUUUGAAAAAGAGAUCCAGGAACGAACUCUUGGUAGUAAGCCUGCGGCGAAGCUGCUGGAGAACUUGAAACCUUCCUAUUGGUUUUCGGCUCACCUGCACUGUAAAUUUUCUUCCCUUGUCCAACAUGGCGAUGAUGGUCCUGUGACAAAGUUUCUUGCACUUGACAAGUGCUUACCUGGUCGCAAAUUCUUACAGGUUAUUGACAUUGAAUCAGGACCUGGACCAUUUGAAAUAUGUUAUGAUGAGGAAUGGCUUGCAAUAACUCGGAUAUUCAAUCCUGCCUUCCCCCUUACUAGAAAGCCUGCUGAUUUGCGGAGUGUGCAAGUCGACAAAGAAGGUUGUCGCCAGUGGGUCAGGAGUAAGCUAAAUAUAAGAGGGGCUAAACCCUUUGAAUUCUCACGAACAGCUCCAUGCUAUGAUCCCGUUCAAUCUGUUUCAAAUGGCCCCGGAGCAGAAGAUCAUCGGAAUCCUCAGACAGAGGCACUCCUGAAGUUUCUUGAGCUACCAUAUCUUCUUGAUAACUCCACUGCUUCUAGUGAGCUGAGUUCAGACUCACCUUCAGUAUCUAGAGGCUUCUAUUCCAAUAAUGAAGACAUUCCAAUUGAUGAUGUGGAUGAAUUAGAAGAACUGGCUGCUGAUGAUGACGACGACUAAGCAACUGAUGAGGCAUGAAUCAGAAGGCAGAUGCUAGAUUUCUUGCAUUGACUCCUUUAGCUGCCUCAUUGUGUUAAAGUGUGGUUUGUUUGGUGGAGACCCGGGAAUAUGCUAAGAGAAAUGUAUCGUCAGCUUUUAUUCAUGGUGCAUUUGUUGUGCUACAAAUACUCAGUUCAGACCAUGGUUGGGUCAUCAACAUUAUCAGCAGGAGGCUCUGACACACGCUCAAAAGGCCUUUAAAUUUGGUAUCUCAACCAUUUUUUUUGCUGGAAAUAGAACUUAACAUCUUGAUCUCUUCCAAAUGUCAGCACUGCACGUCGUGUAUAGAAGCAGGUAUCAACUAGUUGCAACUCCAGGAACAGGGCAAUUUGUGUUGCAUAGAAUAGAGUAAUAUCUUCCGAUUAAUGCCAUUGAGGAAAUGUACAGAAUUAGUAUUGAGGAUUAAACCUAGGUGGUUGUUUUUUUCAUUGGAAAAAUUUAAUAUUGGUAGCUGAUUGUUCAGCACAAGGAGACCAGAAAUCAAACCUAGCUGCUGCCAGUUUACUGCUCUCGCAUAUUCACAGGGAUGAAAAGCAGUUUCCUAGGAUAACUGGUAGUUUGCUCGAUUGUCACAAAAUGUGUAUUGAUCCCAAGAGAGUAUUAUUCUUUUAAACAAGCGAAUGUUGUCACGUGUCUUUACCUGAUUGAUUAGCUAUAGUUUUUAUAUAUAUUGCUGAAAGCACAAAGCAGUAUGUUCCAAUGA